rnacentral:misc_RNA from 1 species
UCAAGUUGACUUUCAAAGUCAAAAACUGAGUUUUCAAAGGGUGAAUAGAGAGUCCCUCUACAAAGAGGGCAAGUUGAAUUGGAAAGCAACCAUGUGUCUAUGCAUUCAAUGUGAAAAGCAUGGUUACACAUGGGAAGCAAUCUGAGCUUGUCUUGUUCCAAGAACUCACAGAGGCAAACAGCACAAUCAAAAGGCUCUUUCAAGCCAAUUAUCUCUUUGUAAAAGAAGACAGGGAGAGCAUCUAUGAAAGCCUGAUCCAGGCCUGAGUCAUGAAGAUGGAAGAGUUGCUGUAACUGUCUUUGGUAAGCAUCUGAAUCAGACAUGU